rnacentral:rRNA from 1 species
UACAGAGGGGGCCAGCGUUAUUCGGAAUUAUUGGGCGUAAAGGGCGCGUAGGCGGCUCUGCGUGUCUUUCGUGAAAUCCCUCGGCUCAACUGAGGACGUGCGGAAGAAACUGCAGGGCUGGAGUCCGGGAGAGGAGGGUGGAAUUCCCAGUGUAGCGGUGAAAUGCGUAGAUAUUGGGAGGAACACCGGUGGCGAAGGCGGCCCUCUGGACCGGUACUGACGCUGAUGCGGCGAAAGCGUGGGGAGGCAAACACGGG